GUCUCAGUAGCUCAGCUGGAUAGAGCGACAGCCUCCUAAGCUGUAGGUCGUGAGUUCGAAUCUCGCCUGGGACGUCA
rnacentral:tRNA from 1 species